GACGAACGCUGGCGGCGUGCUUAACACAUGCAAGUCGAACGGAAAGGCCCUGCUUGCAGGGUACUCGAGUGGCGAACGGGCGAGUAACACGUGGGUGAUCUGCCCUGCACUUCGGGAUAAGCCUGGGAAACUGGGUCUAAUACCGGAUAGGAGCCAUUUUUAGUGGGAUGGUUGGAAAGUUUUUUUCGGUGUAGGAUGAGCUCGCGGCCUAUCAGCUUGUUGGUGGGGUAAUGGCCUACCAAGGCGGCGACGGGUAGCCGGCCUGAGAGGGUGGGCGGCGGCACUGGCACCGACAGACGGCCCCGGUUCCUACGGGUGGCAGCAGGGGGAAAUCUUGCCCGAUGGGCGCCGGCCUGAUGCUGAGGCGCCGCGUGGCGGAUGACGGCCUUAGGGUUGUAAACUCCUUUCGCUAGGGACGAAGCUUUUUUUGACGGUACCUAGAUAGGAAGCCCCGGCUAACUACGUG
rnacentral:rRNA from 1 species